rnacentral:rRNA from 1 species
ACGAGGGUUUAACUGUCUCCUUCCCCCAGUCAAUGAAAUUGAUCUGGCCGUGCAGAAGCGGGCAUAACAACAUAAGACGAGAAGACCCUAUGGAGCUUCAGGCUAAAGACCCAAGCAUGUAAAGAAAUCCUAAAUAAACAAAACAGAUUUGAACCCAAUGCCCAAAUGGUCACAUGCCUUCGGUUGGGGCGACCACGGGGAAAAGAAAAGCCCCCGAAUGGAAUGAAAUCAUACUCCAAACCAAGAGACACACCUCUAAGUAACAGAAAAUCUGACCAAACAUGACCCGGGAUUAAACAUAAACCCGAUCAAUGAACCAAGUUACCCUAGGGAUAACAGCGCAAUCCUUUCCCAGAGUCCCUAUCGACGAAAGGGUUUACGACCUCGAUGUUGGAUCAGGACAUCCUAAUGGUGAAGCCGCUAUUAAGGGUUCGUUUGUUCAACGAUUAACAGUCCUACGUGAUCUAGUUCAGACCGGA